rnacentral:ncRNA from 2 species
AAUAUUUGUAAGUUUUAAGGUGCUUCUUUGUAAAAAAAGAAGUUAAAAGGGAAGUUCGGUGAGAGUCCGACGCAGCCCCCGCUACUGUAAGCGAAUACGAAACCUUAUUAUGCCACUUAAUUUUUUAAGGAAGGCAAGGGAGUAGGAUGAAGCGCGAGCCAGGAAACCUGCCUUAAAACGUUAGCAACU